rnacentral:rRNA from 1 species
UACGUAGGGGGUUAGCGUUGUCCGGAAUCAUUGGGCGUAAAGCGCGCGUAGGCGGCCAGAUAAGUCCGGUGUGAAAGUCACAGGCUCAACCUGUGAAUGCCGCUGGAAACUGUCUGGCUUGAGUCCGGAAGGGGCGAGUGGAAUUCCUGGUGUAGCGGUGAAAUGCGCAGAUAUCAGGAGGAACACCAAUGGCGAAGGCAGCUCGCUGGAACGGUACUGACGCUGAGGCGCGAAAGCCAGGGGAGCAAACGGG